AACUCACAUCUCACCAGAUCUCAUCCGCCCCCAACUCCAUGCUUUCUCUCUCCCAGGCGAUUUCCAGAUCUAGGGUUUCAAUAACCCUGAAUCGUUCAUUUUCUCUCAAUCCGACAGAAGAUCCAGUGGGGUUGACCUCUAGAAGAUCCACUGGGUUUUUCUCUAAUCGGCACAAGAUCCACUGUGGAUGACAUCUAGGUACCGUUAUAAAACCACAUCUAAUGUUUUUUGUUUGUUAUUUGAGUCUGAUUUGGAUCUGGUUAAAAUUCUGUUUGCGAGGCAAUGCUUGAACGGGUCUCUGACAUGAUGCAAAAGGAUUUGAUUCUUGUUGGUGCAACUGGUAUAAACCAUCUUCUCCGAGAUCGGUUGCUGCUUAUGUUAAUCCUCAUCGUCUUCUGUUCAGAUCUUGUUUUAAUACCGAUCUGCGAAAGUUUUGGAUGAUUCUGGUCAAGAUGACGAGUUAUCUCUGUGUUAGGCAUUUGGUCAAGAAAUAAGUAUGAUCUGAUAUAAGCAUAAAAGAGUCAGGCGACGUCUUACAAAUUGGAAAUGCAUGGAUUGAUGACGAAACAAGUGCCAAAGGAAUGUUUGAUUACUGGUGGACUCAUGCUUUAAAUUCAGAUGCAACACACGAUGCCAUCUUAAAAUACUAUGACUUUGCGAGUGAUUCUUCAUCUGCAAUGUGUGACAAUAAUAUUACAGACAAAGCUUUCAUUGAGAAGGGGUUUUUCUGAUGCACAUCGCCAGAUCUAGGGUUAUGAGUUCUUAUUUCACCUUCUUUCUCUUUGUCUCAUACUAUCAAAGGUGCGUCUAUGUUCCUUAUUUGAUAUUUGAGUGUUGUUAUAUUUUAUAAUAGCUUUAUCGACAAGAAGAAGAGGCUGCAGCAAAGCUAGCCCGACAGCAGAGGACUUACAAGCUACUGAAAAUCUUGUUCCUUUUACUUGGUGGUUCUCUUAUUUUGACCCGGGUCACUCAAGACGUGGAGAAAUAUUUUAAGUAGAACCAUUUUUUUUGUGUGUCCUAGACGAUAAUAAUCCACAUUUAGGGUUCGAGAAGAAUGAAAUGAUGAGAAACAAAACUUUGGCGUAGGAACAGAGGAUGUUAUGUAAAUGAAAUGCGAAAUUGAUAUGUCAUACGUGUUUCACAGAAAAUGUAACAUUAAAUUUGCAUCUGACUUAUUUACAGCAUCUGUCUGUUCAUAUAUUAAAAUUUACAUUAUUUGA